CUUUACUUUACUUUAGUCUGUACUGUUCCGCCUAUAUCAGACGACCCACUUUUCAGUGUGAAUAUCAUAUAUAUAUAUAUUGUCAGUUAAUCCAAUGCACUAAUAUUGAUUGUUUAUACACAUUAACCACCACCUCUAUUUACACACGAGAAUAAAUACAUCCCAUGAAUAUAUACAUGACCGAAACUGGAGCGCAAGUCAUUGGACUCAAAAUGUUCGUUGCCCCAUUUCAAAUUAUCAAUUGUCACUUUUGCACACUUAUUCAUUAAGCUGUUUGAUAUUGAUUUAUUAGUACUACCUCAAUAAAUUCGAACGCACCUGAUGUAACUUAAAGCAUAGUCCUCUAGUAAUACAUUCCACUUUAAAAACAUCGCCUCUGGUCAGAAAAUGAAAUACACUGCAGUCGAUAAUUAACUGUAAAGUGUUGAUUUC
rnacentral:lncRNA from 1 species